rfam:Picea glauca, whole genome shotgun sequence.
UUAACGGUGUCUUUAGACACCACCCUUAUCUUCAAAAAAUUGUGUU